CAAGUUUUUUUUAAUUAUUAAAUUAUUAGUUUUCAAUAUAAUUUUUUUGAUUUACUCUCAAGUCCUUAUUACGCUAUACUAACUGUCGAAACAAGAUAACGUUCCGACUCAUCAGUAAUGAGUGAAGAGAAACGUAUUCAAAAUGAGUGUGAUCCCGAUGACUUAUUAUCAUAUGACCAAAUCAACACCCUAAUAUCUAUGAGGGGUACUCAUACACGGGACAAAGUAGCGACAUCGUUUCUAGAUGCGCUGAGGAUUGAAAAGGAGAAAGAGAUGCUUGAAAAGGAGAAAGAGAUGCUUGAAAAAGAGAAAAUUUUUCCAAAUUUUGAACGUGCCAGCAGAAUUUCACAAAUCAUUCUCCAAUGGUACUAUAAUACACCAACCGAAAAUCCCGAUGCCUUCCGAGGUAUUAAGGAAGUCCCACUCCAUCAAGAUGACACUUGUAGUCAUGUGACCAUGCCGGAAUCAGAUCUUGUAAAAACAAAGGAACUAGAAGCCGAGGACCCUGAUAUAACUAAUGUAAACCAAGUUACCAGCGAUUAUCGUAGGUGGUAUUGUUUUCUUUCAAGAAAUGAAAGUAAUUUGGCGGUCCGUAUCAACUCCAGACUUCAUCUCUACUGUAAGAAAAAUCCGACUUUGUGUGACAAUAAUACAACUACAUUACGUCUGAAAUUUUGCGCAUCAGUAGCCGGAUCAGCUAGAGCAUUUGAAUUCAUUCACCGCAAGUUUUUACCAUUAUUUUACUUUUCAGAGUACAAAUCUGACUUUGAUGAAACGAAUGAAGAUUUCAUAACAUAUUUGUUUUCCAACUGGCAGUCCUAUUCUUUUAAUCGUGAAGAUGUUGCUUUUCUCAACAUUCUAUUAAAGUGUCAAACACCUGAAAUGGCUGUCAGUUUUUCAGUAUUGUUAGAAUACAUGUACACAAAUAAUUUCGAUAAUGUGAUUCCGUUAUCCGAUAAAUGUUUGAAGUAGGAAUUUGGUCGUGUCCACUUUGAUGAUGUAUGAUCCCAUAUUCGUCACUAAAGCAGAAUUUUGUAUAAUUAUAUUGGCACAACAGAAGAAAAGAUUCAAACAAUAGGACAUUUGCAUGACAAAAUAGGAUUUAGCAAUGACAAUUGUUACGUAAUAACAGCUUAGCAUGACAAUAAUUCAAGUUCAUAUUUGCUGAUGACACUGCUAUACUUUCUUCGCAUAAAGACAUUAAAAUUGCUACCACACGCUUAGAAAAUGCCAUUGCGAUUUUUUACAAAUACUGGUAUGUAAUUGGUGUAUCAAAAUUAAUGAAUCCAAAUCUGAACAUGUAAUCUUCACUGCUGGUGCUGGAAAAAUCUGCAACUUGCCAGUCACCAUCAACAAUUUGAUAACACCACAAAAGAACUCUACAAAGUAUUUGGGAAUUCAUGUUGACUUGAUGAGAUAUUUAACAUGGGGAAUGCGUAUUGAGAAAACAUUGGAUGAAAUGAAACUUGUAACUUGAAAAGAUGAUCUGGCUCUUUACACAUGAAGCCAAGUUAAGCAACAAACUUCUGUUUUACAAACCCGCCAUCAAACCUAUUUGGACAUAUGGUUGCCAACUAUUGGGCACUGCAAAACCAUCAAAUACAGAAAUAAUUCAGCACAUGCAGAACAAAUAAUUAUCUUUGUCAAGUCACCAUAUGCGCCAUGAUACACCAGAAACGCGGACCUCCAUUGCAAUACAAAUGUGAGCUGUCUCUGAGGAAGUAUACCCAAUUGGCAAGAAAUAUGCGUUUUAGUCUCAUUUUUCAGCUAUUACACUCACGUUUUUUCAUACCAGCUCCCUUUUUUCAAAUCUGCUGUUACUCUGUUCUACCUGAAACCAGUUUUGUUGAAGUAAACCGCGUUUUUUUACUACAUUCGCACUGCGUUUAUGCCAUCUGAUACCCCGGGGGUCUUUCAUAAAAGCAAUUACUCACUGUGUUUACGCGAUUACACUGGGUGUACAUGCCUCAAAAAACGCAGUCUCAUUUUUACACGUCUAACCACGUUUUUCUUGUCAAUAGGGCAGUGGAAUUACAAUAACUCGAUAACUUGAAAACUCCAGUAACUCGAAGCAAAGUCUGUUUCCCUUCAACUCCCCAUUUUUUCCCCUCUUGACUGGUAGACUGUCAAUCAAACUGUCAUCAAUUGCUCAUCUCUGAGGAAGAUGAAAAUUCACAUUUUUUUUACCUUGGGGUAUCUCAUUAUGUUCAUAUCAAAAAGAGGAACAUUGAGAAUUUGAGCACACAAUGUAUCUAAAUGCUUAUCAAGUUUCUUUUUAAUUAUUAUUAAAUUAUUCGUUUUCGAUAUAUUUUUUUUUGAUUUUCUCUCAAGCACCUAUUACGCUACAUUAACCGUCGAAACAAGAUAACGUUCCGACUCCCAAGUAUGUACAUAUUCAAAUUCAAGUUUUAGAUUUAGGUAUCUACUAUUUGCAUGUAACACUUUGUUAAAAUGAAGUUGAUCCUUAUAACCAGUCUGGUUUUCAUCAAAUUACUUUCUUUCAAUUAUUGUUAUUAUCAUAGCCCAGAAUUUGUCUCUAGUAGCGAAUCGCUGAGGAUUGAAAAGGAGAAAGAAAUGCUUGAAAAACAGAAAAUUUUUUCACAUUUUGAACGUGCCAGCAGAGUUUCACAAUACAUUCUCCAAUGGUACUAUAAUACACCGACUGAAAAUCCCGAUGCCUUCCGAGGUAUUAAGAAUGUCUCACUCUAUCAAGAUGACACUUGCAGUCAUGUGACCAUGCCGGAAUCGGAUCUUGUAAAAACAAAGGAACUAGAAGCCGAGGACCCUGAUAUAACUAAUGUAGACCAAGUUACCAGCGAUUAUCGUAGGUGGUAUUGUUUUCUUUCAAGAAAUGCAAAUAAUUUGGCAGUCUGUAUCAACACCAGACUUCAUCUCUACUGUAAGAAAAAUCCGACUUUGUGUGACAAUAAUACAACUACAUUACGUCUGAAAUUUUGCGCAUCAGUAGCCGGAUCAGCUAGAGCAUUUGAAUUCAUUCACCGCAAGUUUUUACCAUUAUUUUACUUUUCAGAGGACAAAUACAGUAAUUAUAACUCAGAAGAAAUGAAUGAAGAAUUCACAACAUAUUUGUUUUCUAACUGGCGGUCCUAUUCUUUUAAGCAUGAAGAUGUUACUUUUCUUAAUAUUCUAAUAAUUUGCCAAACACCUGAAAAGGCUGUCAGUCGUUCAGUUCUUUUAGAAUACAUGAACACGUUUCAUUUUAAUCAUGGUAUUGAACAGGUGAUUCCAUUAUGCGAUAAAUGUUUGAAACAGGAAUAUGCUCAUGUCUACUUUGAUCGUGUAUGAUACCUUAUUCAUCACUAAAGCAGAAUUUUUUUCCUGAAAUGGACAAUAUAAUUAAUAUUGACACAACAGAAGGAGAGAUUCAAACAAUAGGACAUUUGAACGACAAAAUAGGAUUUAUCAAUGACAAUUGUUAAUAACAGCUCCGCGUGACAAUAAAUCAAGUUCAUAUUUGCUGAUGA